rnacentral:lncRNA from 1 species
GAAAAUUGAGAAAGAGGGAGGAAGAAAAAAAUGAAGAAAGAAGAAGAAGAAGUGGGUUUUCAAUUUUGGGGUGCUCCAUUUCUUCAAUUUCUCAUUUGAUUUUGAGAGGUAAGUGUAAGUAUAUUGAGUUAAGUUUUCUUUUAGGGUUUAUGGAAAAUUUGGUCAUAUUUGAAGUUAGCUAGAAUUAGAGGUUAUUGACAUUUAUUUGAGGUAUUAAACAUGAAUAUGUUAAAAAAAUAUAUGUAUUGAAAGAUUGGUGUUGGAAAAAAAAAAUAAAAGAAAGAAAAGAAAAGGAGGGAAACUUUGAAAAUGAGUUUGUGAAAUAGGUGCUUAUUCUUUGAUUUUCUUUGGAUUAUGUAAUGUUAAUCACUUAAAUUAUGGAAUUGGGGUUGAUUUCUCCAUUUUUAAGUAAUAAUUAUAAUCAAUUUUUGGACAAAUCCUACACAGGCGCUGCUUUUGAAAUUCUGCCCAGAAAAGUGCUAGUUUUGUCAAUUUUUUGGUGACAGAAUUCAAUAAAUAGACAUUGGUGCUAGUUUUCAAUAUACUGGAAUUAUAGUGCUAGUUUUGUCAAUCAUCUAAUUUUCUUGGAUUUCUAGUAUUCUAACCCAAUUUAGUGUUAAUUAUUUGGAGUUUUGGUGUUUAAAUAAUUUAUAAAGGAGUAUAUGUUGUUAGUGACUUUAAUUGGGAUUACAAGGUUGAAAAUAAAAUAUAUCAUGUUCCCAUUGGUAAAUUAAUAUUUCAAAUGGUAGGAAAAUACUCAAGGCAUCUUGGUAAGGGAAUAUGAUUUACUAGAGCGAGUGCGUAAUAUCAUACUUGAUAUUUGAAGUUGAAGUGGUGACGAAAAGAUUGAAACCAUGGUCGACUAUUACUUGGCGAGUGGAUAAAACUUAUUUUUCAGAAAUAAGUCUUCUUUAAAUUUUAAAUUUAUUUAUUUUAUAAAGUUGACUUCAUAGCAUGAUUUUCAGAAUAAAAUGGACUUUAUUAUCAAUUGCUUUUAAAGUUAAAUUCAGUUUAGUUAAAUUAUUUUAGUAGCAUGUUAUAUUCAUAUUAUAUGUUUCAGUAUAGUUAAAGUUAUUUCUACAAACCACCAGAAAGUACCCAGGUGAUUUUACCCCAGUUUGCAUUGAUGUGAAUGUAUUUUCAUAGUGUAUGACUAGUUAUAGUGAUUUUACCCGCUCUGCACUAUCGUGAAUGUGUUUCCAUAGUGUAUGACCAGAUUAUCAGAGGUCUUUGGGACCCACUCUCGUACACACAUAGGCUUUGGGCCGUGUACUAGGGUGAUUAGCCUUUGGGGCAGCUCUGCAUACGUAUGACCAGAUUAUCAACUAUCAGAUUAUCAGAUUUGAAUGGCUUGCCUUGUACAUCGAGAUUACUAUGUACAUGUGUAAGGCUAUUCAUUGGGUACUCUUUAUGGUGUGAUUUUACAGUACUUAUUCAGUUCUCAGAUUUCAGAUUAUGGAAUUCAGUUUUCAGAAUAAAGUUUUCAGCUUCUAGUAUUGAGCAGCAGCAAUAUUUCAUAGAUUUUAAUGAAUAUCAGAUUCUUUAUAAUUG